rnacentral:rRNA from 1 species
UACGGAAGGGGCAAGCGUUGUUCGGAAUCAUUGGGCGUAAAGGGCGCGUAGGUGGUCUUGUAUGUCUACUGUGAAAGCGUACGGCUCAACCGUAUUUAGUCGGUAGAAACUGCAGGACUUGAGGCUGGGAGGGGCUGGUGGAAUUCCCUGUGUAGCGGUGAAAUGCGUAGAGAUGGGGGAGAACACUCGUGGCGAAGGCGGCCAGCUGGACCGGUUCUGACACUGAGGCGCGAUAGCGUGGGGAGCAAACAGG